AGAAUCAACGCUGGCGGCGUGCCUAACACAUGCAAGUCGAACGAGAAAGUGGAGCAAUCCAUGAGUACAGUGGCGCACGGGUGAGUAACACGUGACUAACCUACCCUUGAGUGGGGAAUAACCUGGAGAAAUCUAGGCUAAUACCGCAUAACACCUACGGGUCAAAGGAGCAAUUCGCUUAAGGAGGGGGUCGCGGCAGAUUAGCUAGUUGGCGGGGUAAUGGCCCACCAAGGCAGUGAUCUGUAUCCGGCCUGAGAGGGCGCACGGACACACUGGAACUGAAACACGGUCCAGACUCCUACGGGAGGCAGCAGUGGGGAAUUUUGCGCAAUGGGGGAAACCCUGACGCAGCAACGCCGCGUGGAGGAUGAAGUCCCUUGGGACGUAAACUCCUUUCGACCGGGAAGAUAAUGACGGUACCGGAAGAAGAAGCCCCGGCUAACUUCGUGCCAGCAGCCGC
rnacentral:rRNA from 1 species